UUGCUUUAACCUCAUAUUUGUAUUUGCGUACUAAAACAAUUUCAUAACCAAAAAAAGAAAUACAAAAUGGAUGGUAUGACCUACGAUGGUGGUGCUCCUUCUACUCCAACAAAUAUUACGAGGAAGAAUCAACUCCAGAUGAAUGGUAUGACCUAUGACAGUGGUGCUCCUUCUGCUCCACCGGUGGCUACUGAUAGUUCUAAAAAAAUUCAGACACUAAGUGCUAAAGAUGCCAAACUAUCUUAUAGCAAAACUUGACAUGGCCAAUACCCAAUAGCUAUAUAUUACUACGAAAUAUGAAGAAAAUAUAAAGCAUCAUAUUCUAUUGAUAGUUAAAUAUAAUGUUUGUAUCAAAAUUGCUUUUAAACUAUAAGGCUUAAAAUUAUACAUCUUACUAUACCUAGAAAAUGCACGGGUGAAAUUUGUUGUAAGAAUAUAUAAAACAUUAGGUACAGUUUCUUAUUUGUGGUGUUUAGUAUUAAAAGAUCAUAGUAUACUUACCUGGCUUGGUUAAGAUUUAAAAGAUUACAAGGGGAGUAAUGAUAUUACUGUUUAUGGAAAAAAAAUUCUCUUCUUCACGUCAUAUCACAUGAGAUUUUAAGGUAUAUUUUUCCCAUUUUUCACCUUAAUUUUAACAAAUGGUAAUGCCAAUUUAUC
rnacentral:lncRNA from 1 species